rnacentral:lncRNA from 1 species
GCGUGUUUGGGUAUUCUCAAUUAGGAAAUCCCAAUCUGUUUUCAAUCAUUCUCCAAAAUUAUGAAUUCGUUUCCUUUAUCGAUUAUAAACCCUAGAUGUAUAAGCAGAUUCUUCAAUCGUGAAAAUAACAUAGCAUCUUCAUCUGUUACUUUUCGAUUGUGUAAAACCCUCGAAAACCUGUGAACUCUUCAGAUCUUGAAUCCCAUUAUCAUCUAUUAGUCUUAACCAGAUUUCUUUUGAGAUUCCUUUGUUUUUCAUCUAUUUUUCUAUGAAUCUGUUACAAACCCUAAGUUUUUUUAUAUGAAUCUUGGUACAAAAUAUGAUGCGUACAAUUGAGGGAUUCAAGCGCAGCAAAGCAGUAUAUGAAUAUAUUUAAUGUUUUCCACUUUAUCUAGAGCAUACAAUUGGGGGAUUUAAGCACAACAAAGCAGGAGUUGAAUAUAUUGAAAUUUGAUGAAUGCAUAACGAGUUGGCUCUGAGUGAUGUCACUAGCCUUUCGGGGAGUUGCCUCUUCAACUUGUCAGAUUUUUGUGUUCAGUGGUAUUUCUGGUGUUUGGCGCAUAAAAGCAACUGAAGAAACUCAUGGCAGUAAAGAUACAACCAUUGGUUUCGUUCGUGUCGUCUUUUACUAGGCUUGACAGACAUCUCUUUACGUGCCAAAUAAAGCUUGGGCUGGAAUAUCUUUAUUAGGGGUGACUUUUGAAGUAUGAAGUUCCGAGGGGUUUCUUGCAUCUUACUCUGUUUGGUUUCAGGAGUUGAGUAAACAUCUUCAGGGGUUUCUGUCGGCGAUUGUGACAUUGGUGUUCGUUUGCUGCACGGAUCGCUUUAAACUAAAGAUGACUUGACUUGGAUAAAUAGACUUCCACUUAUCUCUGCAUUUCUCAUUUUUGCUGUACAUUCCAGUCUGUUUUGGUAACACAUUGCAAUGUGUAUGGAAGACAAGCUCUGGAUAUUACAGUUCAAAAGGUCUUUUGGUUUUCCACUUUUAAUGUGUGUCGAGCGCCUCAUUGUUUAGACUCAUUAAGCUUAUCAUCAACAAGCCAACAACUAUCCUGAACAAUCUACUUAUGCUUGUAACAUGUGAAAACCGAAACUGUUAUACUUGAUGGUAAAGAAAAUUCCGGCCACCUAAGAUUUUUUUUUUACGAAUAACAUGACUUUAAAUCUGAAUACGACACAAUGUUAUUGGCACUGUUGAAUUGCAUUAAGAUUAAAUUUGAUUCAACUUAUUCUUUUGAUUGAAAUCUUUAAACUAUAGUAGCAAACACCAGUAAAUGG